rnacentral:rRNA from 1 species
AGUGAACGCUGGCGGUAGGCCUAACACAUGCAAGUCGAACGGCAGCACAGUAAGAGCUUGCUCUUACGGGUGGCGAGUGGCGGACGGGUGAGGAAUACAUCGGAAUCUACUUUUUCGUGGGGGAUAACGUAGGGAAACUUACGCUAAUACCGCAUACGACCUACGGGUGAAAGCAGGGGAUCUUCGGACCUUGCGCGAUUGAAUGAGCCGCUGUCGGAUUAGCUAGUUGGCGGGGUAAAGGCCCACCAAGGCGACGAUCCGUAGCUGGUCUCAGAGGAUGAUCGGCCACACUGGAGCUGAGACACGGUCCAGACUACUACGGGAGGCAGCAGUGGGGAAUAUUGGACAAUGGGCGCAAGCCUGAUCCAGCCAUACCGCGUGGGUGAAGAAGGCCUUCGGGUUGUAAAGCCCUUUUGUUGGGAAAGAAAAGCAGCAGGUUAAUACCCCGCUGUUCUGACGGUACCCAAAGAAUAAGCACCGGCUAACUUCGUG